UACGGGGGGGGCAAGCGUUGUUCGGAAUUACUGGGCGUAAAGGGCUCGUAGGUGGCCAACUAAGUCAGACGUGAAAUCCCUCGGCUUAACCGGGGAACUGCGUCUGAUACUGGAUGGCUUUGAGUUUGGGAGAGGGACGCGGAAUUCCAGGUGUAGCGGUGAAUGCGUAGAUAUCUGGAGGACACCGGUGGCGAAGGCGGCGUCCUAGGACCAACACUGGACACGAGGAGCGA
rnacentral:rRNA from 1 species